rnacentral:lncRNA from 1 species
CUCAGCUUGAAAUGGGCUUGGCAUACAGCAGGAGCCCAGUAAAUGUUGCUUUAAUGCUCAUUUCCCAAGAGAUCUUUAUUAAGCACCCACUGCAUGUCAUUGUGUCUAGGCUUAUUCACUGUGUACCUCUAGCAGAAAGUUAAGGGGACCCUCCAUGCUUGAUGGCCAGAGGUCACUCUCAGCUCCUACAGGUCACUCUCCGGUCCUUAAACGUGGCCCUCUCCAUCUUCAAAGCCAUUUUAGACUAUGCUAAAAACAGCCUCAGGACCUUCAGCACUGAUCAACAAUCCUGGGCAUGGGCUGACCGACAGUUUUCACCCAGAGAGUGAAGAUCAUGGAGGAGCCAUCUUAAAUUCUGCCCAGCGCAGGCUCCCAGGAAUCCUAAUGUCACGAUCUCACUGCAGCCAAUGUGACAAACACAGCAGUAAUUAAGUCUAGAGAGCUAAACACACCUCAAAAAGAAUUGUCUCUUGGUAUGAGUGGAAUGGAAUAAAAUACAUGGAAACCCACAAAAGUUUCGAGGUGAACAUAUUAGCAAAAAUGCUCUAGCUUAU